AAGCGGAGGAAAAGAAACGCAACACUGCGGGAUUGCCUUAGUAACGGCGAGUGAAGCGGCAAAAGCUCAAAUUUGAAAUCUGGUACCUUCGGUGCCCGAGUUGUAAUUUGGAGAGGGCAACUUUGGGGCCGUUCCUUGUCUAUGUUCCUUGGAACAGGACGUCAUAGAGGGUGAGAAUCCCGUGUGGCGAGGAGUGCGGUUCUUUGUAAAGUGCCUUCGAAGAGUCGAGUUGUUUGGGAAUGCAGCUCUAAGUGGGUGGUAAAUUCCAUCUAAAGCUAAAUAUUGGCGAGAGACCGAUAGCGAACAAGUACAGUGAUGGAAAGAUGAAAAGAACUUUGAAAAGAGAGUGAAAAAGUACGUGAAAUUGUUGAAAGGGAAGGGCAUUUGAUCAGACAUGGUGUUUUGUGCCCUCUGCUCCUUGUGGGUAGGGGAAUCUCGCAUUUCACUGGGCCAGCAUCAGUUUUGGUGGCAGGAUAAAUCCAUAGGAAUGUAGCUUGCCUCGGUAAGUAUUAUAGCCUGUGGGAAUACUGCCAGCUGGGACUGAGGACUGCGACGUAAGUCAAGGAUGCUGGCAUAAUGCGUUACUAUGCCGCCCGUCUUGACC
rnacentral:rRNA from 1 species